rnacentral:rRNA from 1 species
CCUACGGGGAGCAGCAGUGAGGAAUAUUGGUUAAUGGGCGCGAGCCUGAACCAGCCAAGUCGCGUGAGGGAAGACGGUCCUAUGGAUUGUAAACCUCUUUUGUCGGGGAGCAAAAGACGCCACGCGUGGCGUUCCGAGAGUACCCGAAGAAAAAGCAUCGGCUAACUCCGUGCCAGCAGCCGCGGUAAUACGGAGGAUGCGAGCGUUAUCCGGAUUUAUUGGGUUUAAAGGGUGCGCAGGGGGAAGAUCAAGUCAGCGGUAAAAUUAAGAGGCUCAACCUCUUCGAGCCGGUGAAACUGGGGUUCUUGAGUGAGUGAGAAGUAUGCGGAAUGCGUGGUGUAGCGGUGAAAUGCAUAGAUAUCACGCAGAACUCCGAUUGCGAAGGCAGCAUACCGGCGCUCAACUGACGCUCAUGCACGAAAGUGUGGGUAUCGAACAGGAGUAGAUACCCGGGUAGUC